GAAAGGGCGUGGGCCUCCUCUGGAGUCCUGAAGAAGUCCACGUGGCACUCAGACCUUGAAUACGUUGUCAAGGUAAUGCCAGGGGAACUGCCUGUAGCCACUGCGGAAGCAAACAGGAGCAAACUCAGCAGGUCAGGGGUCAGAGGGAGAGCUUUGGCCUUGGAAUCGGGAAACCUAGGUUAACCACCUGGCUGUGUUUGUUACACCUCACAAG
rnacentral:lncRNA from 1 species